rnacentral:rRNA from 1 species
GUAGGGAAUCUUCCACAAUGGGCGCAAGCCUGAUGGAGCAACGCCGCGUGUGUGAUGAAGGGUUUCGGCUCGUAAAACACUGUUAUAAGAGAAGAACGACAUUGAGAGUAACUGUUCAGUGUGUGACGGUAUCUUAUCAGAAAGGAACGGCUAAAUACGUGCCAGCAGCCGCGGUAAUACGUAUGUUCCAAGCGUUAUCCGGAUUUAUUGGGCGUAAAGCGAGCGCAGACGGUUAUUUAAGUCUGAAGUGAAAGCCCUCAGCUCAACUGAGGAAGGGCUUUGGAAACUGGAUAACUUGAGUGCAGUAGAGGAAAGUGGAACUCCAUGUGUAGCGGUGAAAUGCGUAGAUAUAUGGAAGAACACCGGUGGCGAAAGCGGCUUUCUGGACUGUAACUGACGUUGAGGCUCGAAAGUGUGGGUAGCAAACAGGAUUAGAAACCCUAGUAGUCC